AGCGAACGCUGGCGGCAGGCCUAACACAUGCAAGUCGAACGAACCUUUCGGGGUUAGUGGCGGACGGGGGAGUAACACGUGGGAACGUGCCUUUAGGUUCGGAAUAACUCAGGUAAACUUGUGCUAAUACCGAAUGUGCCCUUCGGGGGCAAGAUUUAUCGCCUUUAGAGCGGCCCGCGUCUGAUUAGCUAGUUGGUUGAGGUAAUGGCUCACCAAGGCGACGAUCAGUAGCUGGUCUGAGAGGAUGAGCAGCCACAUUGGGACUGAGACACGGCCCAAACUCCUACGGGAGGCAGCAGUGGGGAAUCUUGCGAAAUGGGCGAAAGCCUGACGCAGCCAUGCCGCGUGAAUGAUGAAGGUCUUAGGAUUGUAAAAUUCUUUCACCGGGGACGAUAAUGACGGUACCCGGAGAAGAAGCCCCGGCUAACUUCGUG
rnacentral:rRNA from 1 species